UACAGAGGUCUCAAGCGUUGUUCGGAUUUACUGGGCGUAAAGGGCGCGUAGGCGGUCAGCACAAGUCAGUUGUGAAAUCUCCGGGCUUAACCCGGAAAGGUCAACUGAUACUGUGCGACUAGAGUGCGGAAGGGGCAACUGGAAUUCCCGGUGUAGUGGUGAAAUGCGCAGAUAUCAGGAGGAACACCGGUGGCGAAGGCGGGUCUCUGGGCCGAUACUGACGCUGAGGAGCGAAAGCCAGGGAGGCAAACGGG
rnacentral:rRNA from 1 species